AUACCUUUCUCGGCCUUUUGGCUAAGAUCAAGUGUAGUAUCUGUUCUUAUCAGUUUAAUAUCUGAUAUGUGAGUCAAUGACUCACACGAUAUUAAAUUAAUUUUUGUAAGGGGAGAGCCCAUCACAGUGGCUUGCUGCUGGGGCUCUCGAGUGUCGCCUAUGUCUUGCACUACAGCAUAGGCAGGCGCACCCUAC